rnacentral:lncRNA from 1 species
UGAUUCCUUGCCCACGUAGCUGCCUCCCACAGGCUUCUCCGGGUGAUGAUGGCUAUGGGGCCCGGAGACUGCGAGGCCUAGGCCAAGGCAGAGACUGACACAGAGCUUCCCGGCCUGGAGGCUUCCAGUGCCGGUGCCCCAGGCCCUGCCCGUCAUGCCUCCCGCAGUGAGCUAUAAGACAGGCCCUUGCCUUGCCUCCAUUUCUCCCCCCACAGCAUGUUUUGUUUUGGAAAUCUCUGGAAAAAGGACCUUUGCUUGGAAUGUCCCAGCGCCCUAAGAACAGCAGCAGCACCGGAUGUAGUCUCUGCUUCCGGUUGUCAUCAGCCAAUGAGAGAAGGUUAAAGAGAACACUAGCGUUUUCCCACAGGAGAAUGCGAGUCGUUGGAGUUGCUGUUGAUGGUGAGAACGGGCAGGGAGACCUCUCUGAACUUACAUACGUUGGAAGCAGUUCCAGAAUACCUAAGCCAAGGAUGAAAAGGAGAAGAAAAGGAACAGGAAGAUGAAACAGAGGAACCAGAACAAGAAGAAUUUGAAAUAGCUAGGCAUGGUGGUACAUACAUGUAAUACCAGCACUCUGGAAGGCUGAGGCAGGAGGAUCACAAGUUUGAGCUCAGCCUAGAUAAUUUAGUGACUUAGAACACUCUGUCUUGGGCCAGGGAUUUAGCUCAGUGGUUCUGCAGCCUGUUUCGCAAGCCCAAGCUCCCAAGUUCGAUCCCUUGUACAAAAAAAAAAAAAAAAAGAAACACUCUGCCUCAAAAUUAAAAAUAAAAAGUGCUAGGGAUAUAGCUCAGUGUGAAGGCCCUCAGGUCAAUCUCCGAUACUGAAAAAACAAAAAAAGAAAAAAAAAGGAAAAAAGAAUUUCAGAUAUUAGAGGAUAAUACAAAGAUUAAGAGAUAACAUAGUUCAAAAUGAUAAUCUAUAAUGUGACGUGUAAGAAUUAAUAUAAAAUAGAAGAACUCCAUUAACCAAAAUGGAAAAUAAGGUCCGAUAACUCAACAAUACAAAAAAGAACUCAGAGAUUAAAUUGAAAAAUUAACACAAAUUCUUUAUUCUUUUUACAAGAUUGUUGCUGUUACCACAGUAAUUUGAGUAGUGUCCUGUCUGAUAUCAUUCUGCCUCUUUCUACAAGUUAUGUAAAACCAUUUUGUCUUAGUUAAUUUUCUCAUUGCUGAGACAAAAUAUCUGACACCCAAAGUAAAAGGAGAAAAGGUUUAAUUGGGUCACAGUUUGUAGAGGUUUCAGUCCAUAGUCAGCUGGCUCCAAGGCAGGGUGGCCUGGCAGAGGGGCAUCGCAAAGGAGAAACAGUUCAUGGGCAGCAGAAGGCAGUGAAGCACCAAGCAGCAAGAGACAAGUGAUGACCCUAUUUCUGUCCCUUCUAUUCCAUCCAGACUACCUACCCUUAGGGCAGGUAGCACUUACACCCAGGGUGGAGUACCCUUAAUCCUAUCCAGAACCAUGCCAAACCAAUCAGUGGACUAAUUUACUAAUCACACACCCCUGAUCCCAGCAUCACACACUUAAUCCCAUCACCACACACUCUAGGUCCAGCCACCUCAAAAGCCCCACCUCUGAUCGUGUGAGGCCUGGGGUGGGGGGGUGGAGUUAGACACCUUGUAUACUUCAGUACCCAGUUUUGUUUUUUCUUUUUUCUCUAGGAUUAUACUUAUUUUAAAAGAACUGGUUUUUUUCACAAGAUGCUGUCUGGGCAUAAGAAAAAGGAAGAUGAGCCUAAAACUAUUUUCUCCCUGCAGACAGCAAAGAUACUUUCAGAGGCACCUGGUGUUAAAGCACCGAGAGAUGUCCUGAAGAGAGGGCUCCUAGUGACAACUUGGGGUGCAGGAAAGGAAGCCACAUGCACCAUCAGUUAGUAUGUGUCUUCAUUACCACAGUGUCCCUUGAGAUUUUCAAUUCCUACAGUUCUUUUAUUUUUUUCUUUUUUGGUCUUCAGCCCAGACAUUCUGGAAUUUUUUCCAACACAUGGAGGUCCAGAUGAGCCUCUCUCAGGAAUAAAAUCACAAAUCGAACAUGGGCAGCCAAUAUGAUAAGUGGAAUCAACAGAAACUUAAAGAUAUGAAUAUCAGUAAGCAAUUUCUUGGUUUCCUUUAAAAAGUACUUUUUAGCCGAGCAUGGUGGCGCAUGCCUGUGAUGCCAGCACUUGGGAGAUGGAAGAAGGAGGAUCGCUGCAAGCCUGAGGCCAGCCUGGGCUCCAUAAUGAGCUCAAGGCCAGCCUAGGCUACAUAGAGAGGCCCUGUCUCCCCCAAAAAUAAAAUAAAUAAAUACAUAAUAUAAACAUGUAUACUUCUUUUGUCUUCUUUUGAGAGAUUUUCCUAAUAUUUUUGCUCUCAUUUGUUUAUUUCAUUUUUCUGAGACAGGAUCUCACUAUGUAAUCCAGGCUGGCCUUGAGUUUACUAUGUAGCCUAGGCUGGCCUUGAGCUUGUGAUGAUCUUCCUGCCUCAGCCUCCCAAGUGAUGGGAUUACAGGUGUGUGCCACCUCAUCAAGCUGCUUGUUUAUUUUACUUUAAGACAAUUUUAGGGCUGAAUUUUAAUUCCAUAAACCAAGUUUGGUAGAAGAACCUUGAUUCUUUGUUGAUAGUUAAGAUCAAGGCAUCACAAAGCACAUUAAAAGGUUGUUGUCAGGCAAUCAUGUUUAUAAAGUUGUCUAGAAAAAAAAUGCUAAGGAGGACUGAGCUAUCCAGAUCAUGUGUUUUGUUUUUUUUAAGCUAACCUCCAUGUUAAAACCUCAAUUGUGAGCUUUUUCUCUCAGGGAAUAAAAAUGUAUGAAGAUACACAGAAAAAAGAGAUCAUUCUAUGUAUUUAUAUUUUGUGGUGCUUGGGAUCAAAGUUCAUGUAUACUAUGCAAGUGCAGUUCUGCUGAGUUACACCUCCAGCUUGAGAAUAUUCUGUGUAGUAAGAAAGAUGAAGUUAAAUUUGGUAACAUGGCACAUGCAUGUAAUCCCAGCAUUCUGGGAGGCUGAGGCAGAAGGAUUACCUGUUUGAG